rnacentral:Y_RNA from 1 species
GGCCAGUCCCAUGGUAAUGGGUUAUCUGAACUUAUUAACAUUAGUGUCACUAAAGUUGGUAUACAACUCCCACUGCUAAAUUUGACUGGCUUUAA